CAUUAUCAGCUCAUGCUUCAGCGCUCUGCGAGUGUUUAUAGUCCUGUGACUUUAACACUUCAUGACUGAGAGCUGCUGCUCAGCGACUUCACCCACAGCAACCAUGAGUUUGAUCAGCGUCUUCAUCUGCACACUGGCCCUCUGCGCUCGAGGAUCCAGAGGUCAGGUGACUGUGACUCAGAGUCCUGCAGUGAAAUCUGUUUCUCCAGGAGACACACUCACCAUCAGCUGUAAAACCAGUCCUGCUGUUUACUAUAAUGGUGCUUAUUAUUAUUUGUCCUGGUAUCAGCAGAAAGCUGGAGAAGCUCCUAAACUCCUGAUCUAUCGUGCUAACAGUAGAGUAUCAGGUAUUCCAGCUCGUUUCAGUGGCAGUGGAUCUGGAUCUGAUUUCACUCUGACCAUCAGUGGAGUCCAGACUGAAGAUGCUGGAGAUUAUUACUGUCAGAGUUACCAUGAGAUCAGUAGUAGCUGGGUGUUCACACAGUGUUAGAGCGUCGUACAAAAACCUGGGUGU